rnacentral:rRNA from 1 species
UACGAAGGGGGCUAGCGUUGCUCGGAAUCACUGGGCGUAAAGGGUGCGUAGGCGGGUCUUUAAGUCAGGGUGAAAUCCUGGAGCUCAACUCCAGAACUGCCUUUGAUACUGGUGAGCUUGAGUCCGGAAGAGGUGAGUGGAACUGCGAGUGUAGAGGUGAAAUUCGUAGAUAUUCGCAAGAACACCAGUGGCGAAGGCGGCUCACUGGUCCGGUACUGACGCUGAGGUGCGAAAAGCGUGGGGAGCAAACAGGG